rnacentral:tRNA from 1 species
GCCCCCAUAGCUCAAUGGAUAGAGCAGCUCCGUCCUAAGGAGAAGAUGUUGGUUCGAUUCCUGCUGGGGGCACCA